GAUGAACGCUGGCGGCGUGCCUAAUACAUGCAAGUCGAGCGAAUGGAUUAAGAGCUUGCUCUUAUGAAGUUAGCGGCGGACGGGUGAGUAACACGUGGGUAACCUGCCCAUAAGACUGGGAUAACUCCGGGAAACCGGGGCUAAUACCGGAUAACAUUUUGAACCGCAUGGUUCGAAAUUGAAAGGCGGCUUCGGCUGUCACUUAUGGAUGGACCCGCGUCGCAUUAGCUAGUUGGUGAGGUAACGGCUCACCUAGGCAACGAUGCGUAGCCGACCGUAGAGGGUGAUCGGCCAACCUGGGACUGAGACACGGCCCAGACUCCUACGGGAGGCAGCAGUAGGGAAUCUUCCGCAAUGGACGAAAGUCUGACGGAGCAACGCCGCGUGAGUGAUGAAGGCUUUCGGGUCGUAAAACUCUGUUGUUAGGGAAGAACAAGUGCUAGUUGAAUAAGCUGGCACCUUGACGGUACCUAACCAGAAAGCCACGGCUAACUACGUGCCAGCCGCCGCCGUAA
rnacentral:rRNA from 1 species